rnacentral:lncRNA from 1 species
AGAAGUUAAACUCAACACAAAUGCAAAUGAGAGCAGAAGAUUGCAGCUGAAGAGGCAGCCAUAUCUUGGCAUUCUUAUUGUCCGGGGACGAAGUUAGUAGCAUAUGCCCAUGCGUUGUUGGCGACAGGGUCAGCAAGAUGGUCGUAAAGGUUCUGAACAGGUCCCUUGCCGGUAACAAUGGCUUGAACAAAGAAACCAAACAUGGAGAACAUAGCCAAUCGGCCGUUCUUGAGUUCCUUCACCUUCAACUCUGCAAAUGCAUCAGGGUCAUCAGCAAGACCAAGAGGGUCAAAGGCACCACCAGGGUAAAGUGGGUCUAAUCCUUCACCAAGUGGUCCUCCACCAAUUCUGUAACCUUCAACGAAUCCCAUGAGCACAACCUGAGUAGCCCAGAUUGCAAGAAUGCUUUGAGCAUGGAUCAAGUUUGGGUUGCCCAAAUAGUCAAGGCCACCCUCAGAGAAGAUCUGGGCACCAGCCUUAAACCAGACUGCCUCGCCGAAUUUAACACCAUUCUUUUCAAGGAUUUCAGGGAAGGUACAUCCCAAUGCUCCAAGCAUAGCCCAUCUGCUGUGAAUUACUUCAAGCUCACGGUUCUUUGCAAAAGUUUCAGGGUCAGCUGAUAAGCCAGCUGUGUCCCAUCCGUAGUCACCAGGGAAUUCACCAGUCAG